rnacentral:rRNA from 1 species
GAUGAACGCUGGCGGCGUGCUUAACACAUGCAAGUCGAACGAAGCACUUUAACCUGAUUCUUCGGAUGAAGGUUUUUGUGACUGAGUGGCGGACGGGUGAGUAACGCGUGGGUAACCUGCCUCAUACAGGGGGAUAACAGUUAGAAAUGACUGCUAAUACCGCAUAAGACCACGGAGCCGCAUGGCUCAGUGGGAAAAACUCCGGUGGUAUGAGAUGGACCCGCGUCUGAUUAGGUAGUUGGUGGGGUAACGGCCUACCAAGCCAACGAUCAGUAGCCGACCUGAGAGGGUGACCGGCCACAUUGGGACUGAGACACGGCCCAAACUCCUACGGGAGGCAGCAGUGGGGAAUAUUGCACAAUGGGGGAAACCCUGAUGCAGCGACGCCGCGUGAGCGAAGAAGUAUUUCGGUAUGUAAAGCUCUAUCAGCAGGGAAGAAAAUGACGGUACCUGACUAAGAAGCACCGGCUAAAUACGUGCCAGCAGCCGCGGUAAUACGUAUGGUGCAAGCGUUAUCCGGAUUUACUGGGUGUAAAGGGAGCGUAGACGGCUGUGUAAGUCUGAAGUGAAAGCCCGGGGCUCAACCCCGGGACUGCUUUGGAAACUAUGCAGCUAGAGUGUCGGAGAGGUAAGUGGAAUUCCCAGUGUAGCGGUGAAAUGCGUAGAUAUUGGGAGGAACACCAGUGGCGAAGGCGGCUUACUGGACGAUGACUGACGUUGAGGCUCGAAA